rnacentral:misc_RNA from 1 species
GAUGAAGAACGUAGUGAAACGCGAUAAGUAAUGUGAAUUGCAGAAUUUAGUGAAUCAUCGAACUUUUGAACGCACAUUGCGCCCGGCGGCACUCCGCCGGGCAUGCCUGUCCGAGCGUCAUUUAUCGGCCCUCGACUCUUUCCUCUCUCUCUGGGGUGGAAAGAGUCGGUGUUGGGAGCCCUUUCUGUGCAAGUUCUCUUGCGCAGCUCCCCAAGUCCACUGGCGUCGCACGCCUGGGUAUCCCCCCGCGUAGUAGUUAAAUCACCUCGCCCGGGACCCUGCGAGCGCCGGCCACAAACAACCACAGCGCUCCAGCUUCUUUGCUCGCGCUCGAAUAGUUGACCUCGGAUCAGGUAGGGUUACCCGCUGAACUUAAGCAUAUCAAUAAGCGGAGGA